GAGGGUAUAGCUCAGUGGUAGAGUGCAUGCUUAGCAUGCAUGAGGUCCUGGGUUUGAUCCCCAGCACCGCCA
rnacentral:tRNA from 1 species